rnacentral:rRNA from 1 species
CAGCAGCCGCGGGAAUACGUAGGGUGCAAGCGUUAAUCGGAAUUACUGGGCGUAAAGCGUGCGUAGGUGGUGGUUUAAGUCCGUUGUGAAAGCCCUGGGCUCAACCUGGGAAUUGCAGUGGAUACUGGGUCACUAGAGUGUGGUAGAGGAUAGUGGAAUUUCCGGUGUAGCAGUGAAAUGCGUAGAGAUCGGAAGGAACAUCUGUGGCGAAGGCGACUAUCUGGGCCAACACUGACACUGAGGCACGAAAGCGUGGGGAGCAAACAGGAUUAGAUACCCCGGUAGUCCCUGUCUCUUAUAC